CUCCCUCUUCCUGCUUGAGAUUGAUGUGAAUGGGUUUAUAAUGCAGGCUCCCAUGGUCGUUGCUGAUCCUUAUUUAAGCUGCUUAAUACUGUUAAUAGUAUUAAUGAACACUGUUGGCGCA